UAAAACCAUGUUUUCCUCUGUAAGCUUUGCCAAAUGGGUAUGUGUGGGGGGUUGGGGGAGGCGGGGGUGGCUGUGUUGGUAUCUGUUCUUUCUUUGUGUUCCCUUCCAUCUCCGCUCCCCUGCAGGGCACAGAACACAUCAAGAUUCAUUGCAACUAUAUACCACAUGCCUGGCACGUAGUAGGUGCUCAGGAAACACCUCUUGGUGAAGGAAAGAGCUUGGCCUUUAAAAGUAAGGCAUCAGUUUUACCUAGAAUCUUGCUGAUUUCCUGUUUGGAAGGAGUUUGAUUCCAACUCUGCCUGUACUUUAAAAAGAGGAAAUGUUUGUUGCACUCAGGGAGGGAGGGGCCCUGAUGACCCCACUCCGAACUUUUGAGUUUAGCUUGGUGUGAAAGUAGUCCACCCAAAUGAAUCAUUGGAGGACACAUUUAGGCUUUCUCCGAUAUCCUGUGAGGUAAUGUACCCUCCCCACACCCAUUUUUCCUUUUGAGGAAGAGGGAGGGAGUCCUGAACUCCUGGCUCCUCUAUUUAAUGAUCCUAUAGUAUAGUAAAGUGUAAGUCUGAUUAGAGAGGCGGCCCCACCCUGCUGAAUGUUCAGGAAAUCCACCAGAAGCUGCUUGCCCAGGCAGCAGAUCUUCCCAUGUAAGUUAAUUCUACUCUUUAACCCCCUCCCUUCCCUUGCUGGAAUUAAGAACCUUCAGACAUAGUUUGAUUUUGUGGGUUCAGACCAGAGUUCUUUUCUCCGUGGUUCAGUGGAAGGUUUCUUCGGGACUUUGCAGUCUCCUCAUCUGUAAAUGAAGAUAAUGAUGAAACCUACCUCCUGAAGUUGUUAUGAGACUUAAAUGAAUUGAAGUACAAUUAUGUGUCACGUCUGAGAAAUGCAUCCUUAGGCAAUUUUCCUGUGCGCGUGAACAUCAGGGUGUAGUUACACAAACCUAGUUGGUUCAGCCUACUACACGUGGAGGCUAUAUGGCAUAGCCUAUUGAUCCUAGGUACAAACCUGUACAGCAUAUGACUACUGAAUGCUGUAGGGAGUUGGAGCACAGUGGUGAGUACUUGUGUAUCUAAACAUAGGAAACAUACAGUAAAAAUACAGUAUUGUAAUCUUAUGGGACCAUCGUUGCAUUGACUAAAAUGUUAUGUGGCACUUGACUAUGUAUACAUUGCUUAGAAGAGCCGCUAACUCAUUCUAAAUAAAUGUGAAAUAUGUGUUUGCUAUCAUUAUGAUUACUUACUAGUUUCUGUAGUAUACUAGGCUAGGUUAGAGACUGCUCAUUGCUAGGACAAAAAUAGAAAAGGAUGGAAAAGGAAGAUAGCAGGAAGGAACCUACUUUCAGGGGCACAACAUUGUGACCUGAGUGCCCAGUCCAAGUGAAAAAGCCCAAGAUGAUACUAUUGCCAGCUACUCCACUCCUCUGGGUAUGAUGGUGGGCAUUUUGAGAGGUUCUAGAACCUCCUCCUUUUUAAUCCGGAAUUAAAUUUUAACCAGUUUCCAAUUUCUGAGAGACGUUGCAACUUCUAAUGUGUUUAAUUAGAUGUCAUGGCCAGCGAAUGAAGAAGUCAGGAGCUGAACGGUGGUGCUGUAUCUGCAAUAACUGUAUGGCAAACUGAAAGGAGAAAUCGGGUCACAAAGACAUGCAUACAGGGAGAAUGCCAUGUGAAGAUAAUGACAGAUUGGGCAAUUCUUCUAUGAGCCAAGGAACACCAAAGACUGCCAGCAAACACAAGAAGCUAGGUAAGAGGCAUGGAACAAAUUUGUCCCUCACAGCCCUCAGAAGAGACCAACUCUACUGACACCUUGAACGUGGAUUUAUAAUUCUAGAACUGUGAGACAAUAAAUACAUUUCUGUUGUUUAAGC